GGCUCAGAACGAACGCUGGCGGCAGGCUUAACACAUGCAAGUCGAGCGCCCGCAAGGGAGCGGCAGACGGGUGAGUAACGCGUGGGAAUCUACCUAUCACUACGGAACAACUCCGGGAAACUGGAGCUAAUACCGUAUACGUCGAGAGGAGAAAGAUUUAUCGGUGAUAGAUGAGCCCGCGUUGGAUUAGCUAGUUGGUGGGGUAAUGGCCUACCAAGGCGACGAUCCAUAGCUGGUCUGAGAGGAUGAUCAGCCACACUGGGACUGAGACACGGCCCAGACUCCUACGGGAGGCAGCAGUGGGGAAUAUUGGACAAUGGGCGAAAGCCUGAUCCAGCCAUGCCGCGUGAGUGAUGAAGGCCUUAGGGUUGUAAAGCUCUUUCACCGGUGAAGAUAAUGACGGUAACCGGAGAAGAAGCCCCGGCUAACUUCGUG
rnacentral:rRNA from 1 species